GGUCAUCCUCCUCCAGUCUCAGUGAACUAUUUUCCCGCUCACACCGUCGCCAUCACCGCCACCAGGAGCCUCAACGCCCCUAUCACUAGCAAGAGGGAGGCAGCCGGGAAGAACCACAAGCCACACAGUGCAGGAAAGAUGCUUCACUAUCGUGUAAGUUUUGCAAAUGUGAAAUAUCAACAUAACGGAGCUUCCAGUAGUGCUGGAUGGAGUUCGGUGUGCAGCGUGAGCCCAGCAAAGGCUUCACUUCAAGCAUAAGUUCCGUCGCUUCGCAUCACGGUGAAGGAAGCAGAGCUGAUUAGUGGUGCAGCCGCCCCUCUGACGGCAGCCUUUUAUCGUUGAUUGAAGCCCCGGAGCACAGCGGCAGGAGAGGUUCACGACACUUGCCGGACGAACAGCGCUAAGCAUUAACAGAGG